UGUUAAAAUUUUUAUCUAUUUUUACUGUUAAAAACUAAUGUGGCUGAUAGAGUAACUAGUUAGUUUCAUGUGUACCUUAUUCCAACAUAGAGGAACCAAUUUUUAAUGAUAGAGUUGGAUGGAAUUUUUAACA
rfam:Gossypium raimondii Chr08_contig_863, whole genome shotgun sequence.